rnacentral:rRNA from 1 species
CCAGACUCCUACGGGAGGCAGCAGUGGGGAAUAUUGGGCAAUGGGGGAAACCCUGACCCAGCGACGCCGCGUGAGGGAAGAAGGUUUUCGGAUUGUAAACCUCUGUCCUUGGUGACGAUAAUGACGGUACCUGACUAAGAAGCCCCGGCUAACUACGUGCCAGCAGCCGCGGUAAUACGUAGGGGGCAAGCGUUAUCCGGAUUUACUGGGUGUAAAGGGAGCGUAGACGGCUUGGCAAGCCAGAUGUGAAAGGCUGGGGCUCAACCCCAGGACUGCAUUUGGAACUGUCAUGCUAGAGUGUCGGAGAGGCAGGCGGAAUUCCUAGUGUAGCGGUGAAAUGCGUAGAUAUUAGGAGGAACACCAGUGGCGAAGGCGGCCUGCUGGACGAUGACUGACGUUGAGGCUCGAAAGCGUGGGGAGCAAACAGGAUUAGAUACCCCUGUA